rnacentral:tmRNA from 1 species
GGGGCUGUCCUGGUUUCGACGCGGGUUCGGAAUCGGUGCGGUGCAUGUCGAGCUUGAGUCACGCUCGUAAAUCUCGAUUCAACAAAGUAACUGCAAACGACGAACGUUUCGCACUCGCUGCUUAAUUGCUAGCGAGCCUUGCAACAGUUGGCCUAUGGGCUGGGCAAGGGGGCGCUGAAAAUUCAGAGCCUCCAGGCUGCAAGGGCAUUCACAUAGGCUGGUUGCGCCCCGGGUACCUUGGGCCGCAACGAGAUUCAAGGGUACUGGCAACCGGUGCAGCGUGCGCCUGCGCGAUACCGGCGGCGAGAAUCAAAACAGCGCGCUAAACAUGUAGAUCUGCUCGAAGAAGGCUUGCGGACGCGGGUUCAACUCCCGCCAGCUCCACCA